rnacentral:rRNA from 1 species
CANCUGCAGUCGAGCGGUAGAGAGAAGCUUGCUUCUCUUGAGAGCGGCGGACGGGUGAGUAAUGCCUAGGAAUCUGCCUGGUAGUGGGGGAUAACGUUCGGAAACGGACGCUAAUACCGCAUACGUCCUACGGGAGAAAGCAGGGGACCUUCGGGCCUUGCGCUAUCAGAUGAGCCUAGGUCGGAUUAGCUAGUUGGUGAGGUAAUGGCUCACCAAGGCGACGAUCCGUAACUGGUCUGAGAGGAUGAUCAGUCACACUGGAACUGAGACACGGUCCAGACUCCUACGGGAGGCAGCAGUGGGGAAUAUUGGACAAUGGGCGAAAGCCUGAUCCAGCCAUGCCGCGUGUGUGAAGAAGGUCUUCGGAUUGUAAAGCACUUUAAGUUGGGAGGAAGGGCAGUUACCUAAUACGUGAUUGUUUUGACGUUACCGACAGAAUAAGCACCGGCUAACUCUGUGCCAGCAGCCGCGGUAAUACAGAGGGUGCAAGCGUUAAUCGGAAUUACUGGGCGUAAAGCGCGCGUAGGUGGUUAGUUAAGUUGGAUGUGAAAUCCCCGGGCUCAACCUGGGAACUGCAUUCAAAACUGACUGACUAGAGUAUGGUAGAG